rnacentral:lncRNA from 1 species
AUGACAAAUUUACUAUAGGCCCAUUGAUGGCCCGUUCUUUCAGUGGGUGCUAUUUCUACUGAACCCGUCUUAGUAAGUAUGGCCUGAUAAUAAUCAAAGGCCUUAGGAUGGUAUGGGACAGUGGAGUGGUGUUUAGUAUAAUAGGCGGUAAUUUCAUAUGGGUUCAGGCUUUCAUAUUUCUUUUCUAUAGGACUCAGUACAUAAUAACUGAUAGGUACAUAUGGGUAAUUUACCUCUUUGUCGUUCACAGGC